AACCAUGAUUGAUGUUUACAUGACUCAAGUAGGACCCAAAACAUCAAAAAUAUAAGUUGGUAGUUUGAAUUUGAAGCACCAUUGAUUAUCAAAACUAAGAAAACCCAACUCCUCCACCACUGUAUUGCCUGGGGAAUCCGAUGAAAAUCGAUGUGGUGGGUGAAUAAUUGUUUGCUUCACAUGAUCUCCAACAAACAAACAAUUCAUUCCGUUCUCAAACUCAAUGUUGCAAAAAUGCUGAGCUAUUUUGAGUGAGGAUCCAAGAAGAGCCACUAGGCCUCCCCG
rnacentral:lncRNA from 1 species